rnacentral:rRNA from 1 species
CGCGUAGGCGGCCGGGCAAGUGCGGCGUGAAAGUCCUGGGCUCAACCUGGGGACGGCGCUGCGGACUGUUCGGCUGGAGUCCGGAAGAGGGUGGUGGAAUUCCGAGUGUAGAGGUGAAAUUCGUAGAUAUUCGGAGGAACACCGGUGGCGAAGGCGGCCACCUGGUCCGGCACUGACGCUGAAGCGCGAAAGCGUGGGGAGCAAACA